UGGCAAGAACUUUGGCACG
rnacentral:miRNA from 1 species